rnacentral:misc_RNA from 1 species
GAAUUGCGAAAAUUAAGGCGACUUGCAUAAAUCGCGAGCCAUCGAGUUCUUGAACGCACACUGCACUCUCCUUUCGGAGAGUCUGCCUGUUUGAGUCUUUAAAACAAAAUCUACCUCAUGGUAGGAUGAGAAUAAGCCCACUAAUGGUGGUGGUGCUUAGGAUGUAUCACUGAGCAGUCAGUUCUGCCGUAUUAUAAAAUGCAAAUUGCAAAUUGCAAAUUGUGCGUAGCAGUCUAAGACUUCUCUUUGGCAAAGCAAAGUUUAUGAACAUUAUAGCUCAACUCAGGUAGGAUUACCCGCUGAACUUAA